GGCUCAGAUUGAACGCUGGCGGCAGGCCUAACACAUGCAAGUCGAACGGUAACAGGAAACAGCUUGCUGUUUCGCUGACGAGUGGCGGACGGGUGAGUAAUGUCUGGGAAACUGCCUGAUGGAGGGGGAUAACUACUGGAAACGGUAGCUAAUACCGCAUAACGUCGCAAGACCAAAGAGGGUGACCCUCGGGCCUCUUGCCAUCGGAUGUGCCCAGAUGGGAUUAGCUUGUUGGUGGGGUAACGGCUCACCAAGGCGACGAUCCCUAGCUGGUCUGAGAGGAUGACCAGCCACACUGGAACUGAGACACGGUCCAGACUCCUACGGGAGGCAGCAGUGGGGAAUAUUGCACAAUGGGCGCAAGCCUGAUGCAGCCAUGCCGCGUGUAUGAAGAAGGCCUUCGGGUUGUAAAGUACUUUCAGCGGGGAGGAAGGGAGUAAAGUUAAUACCUUUGCUCAUUGACGUUACCCGCAGAAGAAGCACCGGCUAACUCCGUG
rnacentral:rRNA from 1 species